CCAGUCCGUUCAGAUUAGCAAAGAAACCAACCAGUCCUUGCCGGUAAGGUAAGUAUGAUUUUCUCUUAUCUCCUUCCUUCAAGGCCUUGUUCCUCACAUAGAACACCUCGUGUGCCGAUACUUUCUCUUUGGCCUUGCCUGGUUUUGCAGCAAUUAUUUUGCCUUUAUUAACUUUCUCCUCUUUCUUCCUCCCCAGAAUGAUAUUAUUAUUGUUAUUAUUGUCACGACGAUGAUCUGGAUUCAAAAAUAUCAAAGAUUCCUUGCCGCCGUCGCUGCUGCAUCUACGAAGAUGCAGCAAAUCUCGCAAUCGCCACCGUUGCUUCGACGAUGAUCCAGUGGAAUUGCUCUUUUUGCACCUUGACUGCGAAGGCGAAGCCGAAAGAGAAGGUGACGGUGACGGUGACGGUGACGGUGACGACCUUUGCUGUGUCCAAACACAAAAAGUUCCCCGUGAGACUCUGUCUAAUUCGUCCGCCUCCGAUGAAGACGAAGACGGAGGAUCUCGAUCAUCAAUGAACAGAUUCUUCAAAGGUAAUCGAACAGCGGACGAUGUCACUUCUUCGUGAUCUCUGCUCUGUUUAUUUGACUCAUUUCCACAACUCAAAAGGAGAUCUCGAUCGAAGAGCGGGAAAACCGGGAAGGCGACUUCAUGAUCUCCGUCGAUU
rnacentral:misc_RNA from 1 species